GAAUGAUGAAAAAAAUUUCUGAAUAUUUCAUGGCCUACGAAGGCCCAAAGGUGUUUACUAUCCGGAAAAUGAAGACGCAAUUUACAAACAAAAAUACGCAUAUUUUACGAACUGACGUAUUACAGAAGCAUGUAGUGCCGUAAGAAUCUCUUUUUGAUUGGGGGGUUGAGAACGAGGGCCAAAGGCCCGAAGAAUUUAGAGUCUCUGAAAUGCCAUUUCCUGGACUGUGG